AACCCCUGCUAGAGAGGUGAUGCAGUUGUUUGGAGGUAAUUUUGUGUCUUGAUAAAGUAGGAAUAUGGCUGGGACCAUCCCUGACUCUCUUUUUUCCUUGAAUGUGAACACAUGAGUGAAGCAUACAUCCAUUGUCCAUGGGGCAAGAAACAUGAGGAUGAAAAGCCAAUAUGUUAAGGACAUGAAGUGAAAAGCGGGAAGAGCUUCUUAUUCAUGUUAUCACUGAGCAGGCUUCAUUUCCAACGUGGUUAAGCGGGAACUGGGGGCUCUGCUCAUUAUAGUUGCCCACGGCCUCCAGUCAAUGAAAUUUCCGGCCAAUGAAAUGCUCUACUGUGACUGAAGCAGCAAAGAGAAGAUGGGUGGCUUUGAAAUCAGAAUUGGAUGCAGAGGGAGUCCCAGAGGCCAACACUGUGAACAUAAGAAGGGAAAGACCAGUUCUGCAAGCACAGAUGUAAUUUUGAGAAGCAGAGCUACAGGUAAUUAGCACAUGGUCCCUAGAAAAAUAGGCACAAUGAGUCGACUAGAAAUACACACUGUCUCUUGAGAGCAAAACUUCACAAUCAGCACUGGUGAAGCUGUGGGAUUCUCAGGCAUGAAAUAUUGUGGAGGUCUGCCGGAGGCCUCUCCAGAUUGUGAUGCACUGGGAGCAAGCCACCAUGAACAUAUCCUCAGGUCUCCAGUCUUCUGCCAUCGCAUGAAAAAUGGAGCUUGUCAAACACAGAGCAGAGCUGAACUUUCUGAAUUCCACAGGACAGUUCAGAGUGCUUGGAAUGACACCCACCUGCAAUUUAAACAAAAAAGAAGGAUGAGUAAGUGAGGAGCUAAAAAUUGCAUGUUUCCCUAAAUUAGAUUUAUUUGUAAGCUUUAAGUAAGUGCAAACAUAUUUCGAAUUAUCUGUUAUGAAUUGUGGUUUUGUUAUUAAAUAGACAUUUUGUUUAAUUCUUAUUGCUGCUACAUUUGUGUGGGAAGUGCUGCUUGCCGAUAGGGAAGUAGGAGAGGAAAUAAGGAAAACAAUAAACCAAGUACAGUUUUGCAAAUACCCAGACACAUUGGAUGGACACAGAAGCUUUCACUGGGAGAUUAUGAAGGGUAGAUGCUUUGUGUCUCCAUUGCCUCCUGUGAUGUG
rnacentral:lncRNA from 10 species